UACGGGGGGAGCAAGCGUUGUUCGGAUUUACUGGGCGUAAAGGGCGCGUAGGCGGCGUGACAAGUCACUUGUGAAAUCUCCGGGCUUAACUCGGAGCGGUCAAGUGAUACUGUCGUGCUAGAGUGCGGAAGGGGCUACUGGAAUUCUCGGUGUAGCGGUGAAAUGCGUAGAUAUCGAGAGGAACACCUGCGGCGAAGGCGGGUAGCUGGGCCGACACUGACGCUGAUGCGCGAAAGCGUGGGGAGCGAACGGG
rnacentral:rRNA from 1 species